rnacentral:ncRNA from 2 species
CCUACACAACUUGUUACGGGUGCCCCUCACGGGGUGAAACGGGAAACCGGUGCGCUCAUUUGUCCAUGAGUCAGUCCGGUGCUGCCCCCGCAACGGUAAGCGAGAGAGGAUCAGAACCACUGUGCCACGGCAUGGGAAGGUGAUCCUGAAGGCGUCGAGGCUGAAUAUCGACACCCCUCGCGAGCCCGGAGACCGGCCCGAUACUGACUCAAUGA